UACGUAGGGUGCGAGCGUUAAUCGGAAUUACUGGGCGUAAAGCGUGCGCAGGCGGUUCGUUGUGUCGGUGGUGAAAUCCCCGGGCUUAACCUGGGAAUGGCCAUGGAAACUGGCGAACUGGAGUGCGGCAGAGGGGGGUGGAAUUCCGCGUGUAGCAGUGAAAUGCGUAGAGAUGCGAAGGAACACCGAUGGCGAAGGCAGCCCCCUGGGCUAGCACUGACGCUCAGGCACGAAAGCGUGGGGAGCAAACAGG
rnacentral:rRNA from 1 species